UCCAGGCCCUACGGGGCGCAGCAGGCGCGAAAACUUUGCAAUGCGGGAAACCGUGACAAGGGAACUCUGAGUGCCCGUAAAAUCGGGCUGUCCAUCGGUUUAAAUAACCGGUGAAGAAAGGGCCGGGCAAGACCGGUGCCAGCCGCCGCGGUAAUACCGGCGGCUCGAGUGGUGGCCACUAUUACUGGGCUUAAAGCGUU
rnacentral:rRNA from 1 species